rnacentral:ncRNA from 1 species
AAUAAAUUUUUUAUGGUUUAUAAAAUUUAUUUUGAAUUUAUUUUACAUAUAAAUUUUAGUGUUAAUUAUUAAUUAUUUAAAUAAUAAUUAAUUUUUUUGUAGUAAUUAAUAUUAAAAAUUUAAGAAAUUAAGAUUUAGUAAUAUAAAAAUUAAUAACUAAUUUUGUGCCAGCAGUUGCGGUUAUACAAAAGUUAAUUUAAAUUUUUUAAGUAAUUAAUAAGUAAUUUAAUGAUAAUAAUAAAAAAUUUAAAUUAUAAGGUGAAAUUUUAAUUUAAUAAAAAAUUAUUAAAAAAUUAUGAUUUAAUAAGUUUUGUUAAAAACUAGGAUUAGAUACCCUAUUAUUAAAAAUUUAAAAUAAUAAUACUUAAAUAGUAGAUAAAUAUUUAUUGAAACUUAAAUGAUUUGGCGGUAUUUUAGUUUAUUUAGAGGAAUCUGUUUAGUAAUUGAUAGUCCACGAAUGAAAUUACUUAAUUUAAUUAUUUUGUAUAUCGUUGUUAAAAAAUAUUUUUUAAUGAAAAUAAUAUUUAAGAUUUUAAAAUUUAAAGUUAAAUCAGAUCAAGAUGCAGAUUAUAAUUAAGAAUAAAAUGGAUUACAAUAAAUUUAUUUAAGUUGGAUUUUAAUGGGGAAUAAUUAAAUGAAAUUGGAUUUAAAUGUAAUUUUAUUUAAAUUAUUAAAAUGAUUAAAAAUUAAAAUAUGUACAUAUUGCCCGUCGCUUUCAUUAAUAAAUUGAAAUAAGUCGUAACAAAGUAGAGGUACUGGAAAGUGUUUCUAGAAAGAU